GGGGCCGCCAUGGUUUUGACAGCGAGUUGAAGCAAUACGUAUAAGCACGUCGGGACGUGUGCGCGAGUCCUGUUAAAAACACGCAUAAACAAUAGCUGGCGAAUAUAGCUACGCUAUGGCUGCCUAAUCCGGAGUGAUUAGCCUUUAGCCAUCGUUCCUCCAACCUCCGCCUUGCAGGUUGGAUCAAGGAGCGUCGAAACGUAAGGCUGGUCGGGCGGAUGGUGUUAAUGCUCGGUGAGACACAACACCUAAGGUGCGGGAUGAGGUCUGAUUUGAACCUUGCCUGCGCUCGAAAAUCCAAUCAAAUCUAAGCGUGUAGAAGGCGUACGGUUUCCUUGUUCUGGACGUGGGUUCGACUCCCACCGGCUCCACAA
rfam:Runella slithyformis DSM 19594, complete genome.